GAUGAAGAACGCAGCGAAAUGCGAUAAGUAAUGUGAAUUGCAGAAUUCAGUGAAUCAUCGAAUCUUUGAACGCACAUUGCGCCCGCCAGUAUUCUGGCGGGCAUGCCUGUUCGAGCGUCAUUUCAACCAUCAAGCCCCCGGGCUUGUGUUGGGGACCUGCGGCUGCCGCAGGCCCUGAAAAGCAGUGGCGGGCUCGCUGUCACACCGAGCGUAGUAGAUUUUAUCUCGCUCUGGGCGUGCUGCGGGUUCCGGCCGUUAAACCACCCUUUUAACCCAAGGUUGACCUCGGAUCAGGUAGGAAGACCCGCUGAACUUAAGCAUACAAUAAGCGGAGGA
rnacentral:misc_RNA from 1 species